CUAACAAGUUUAUUUAACCAGUCAAAAGCCUGAAUGUCAUAAAACUGGACUUUUCAAGUAGCAAAGUCUCAUAAGCAGUUCCAAGACUCUGCAGCCAAGAAGUAAAAUUCUUCCAAGACAUUCAGGACUUGGGGACUCUCAAGAGAGCAAGAAGAAUGAUUUUCAUAUUUUCUUGGCCAAGCAGAAAACCCAGAGAGGAAAGUGAAAUAAAGACUAAAAAUGGAUAGAAAGAUGCAAGUUUCUACUACAAUCUAGUGGUGAGCUGCAUUUCCUGAGUCUCAGCCAAUUUCCCAGCAGGAAUUCCCGUCUGAUGAAGAAUCAGCAAAAGGAAGCCCUCACUGAGACAUACUGGUAUCAUUCACUGAGUGGAGACAGUGAAAGAAUAACAUGUUUCUAAAGGCAACUUAUUUUAUUAACAUAUACGCUUACAUAGUAAAUACAGCUUUAAUUAACUCCUCAAGGUGGGAGAAACUUUUCUUGAAAAACUGACAAAUGCUUUUUCUACAAAGCAUUUGAUGUUACUCUCCUGGGUUUUAAAAUGCCUACCUCUUUGUUUCAUAUUCAUUCAUCAUAGCUGAUCCCUUAAAUGCUUUUUUAGAAAACAAAAAACAUCUUUAGUUUUGAACACUCAUUGAUGCACCUUCUAGCAGCAAUACUGGGAUCUCAUAGCAGAAAAACAAUUAAUGAAAUAAUUUAUCAAUUUUUUGCAUCAUCUUUAUCAAUUGAAAUUGACUGCCUCUUCAAGUGAUGACAAACAAAUAUGGAAAUCUUUUUCACAUAUAUAAAAAUAUUUGAAAUGAACUUUAACACUUUUGAGAAAGAUGUUUUUUAAAAUGUCUCUUUGGGUAUGUUUGGUUCUGGGGAUUGAACCUAAGGCCUCAUACAUGCUAAACAAACAUUUUACCACUAAGCUUAGUCCCAGCUCUUUAAAAUAUCUUUAAACACAGUAGUUUACAAAUAAUCAAUAGUCAGACAGAGUUAUAAAAACUUUGACUUAGGAGGCUGGGGUAGGAGGAUUCAAAGUUCAAGGUCAGUCUUGGCAACUUAGUGAAACCCUGUGUCAAAACAAAAAAUAAAAAGGGUGGGAAUGUAGCUCAAUGGUGAAGUGUCCCGGUUGUUCCCUAGGACUAACAAUAUGAAAAUAAAAACAUCAUGAAAUAA